GUGGGGAAUAUUGGGCAAUGGACGCAAGUCUGACCCAGCAACGCCGCGUGAAGGAAGAAGGCUUUCGGGUUGUAAACUUCUUUUAAGGGGGAAGAGUAGAAGACGGUACCCCUUGAAUAAGCCACGGCUAACUACGUGCCAGCAGCCGCGGUAAUACGUAGGUGGCAAGCGUUGUCCGGAUUUACUGGGUGUAAAGGGCGUGUAGCCGGGAAGGCAAGUCAGAUGUGAAAUCUGGAGGCUCAACCUCCAAACUGCAUUUGAAACUGCUUUUCUUGAGUGUCGGAGAGGUAAUCGGAAUUCCUUGUGUAGCGGUGAAAUGCGUAGAUAUAAGGAAGAACACCAGUGGCGAAGGCGGAUUACUGGACGAUAACUGACGGUGAGGCGCGAAAGCGUGGGGAGCAAACAGG
rnacentral:rRNA from 1 species